rnacentral:lncRNA from 1 species
ACACAUUUAGGGAGUAUAGGUGAAAGCCUAUUUCAUAUCUUUUUAGCAGAUAGCAUGUUUUUUCUUAAUAUUUAUAGGAAAACUAUUUUGGGGAAGAUGAUAUGUAUAUGGAUUUUGAAGAAGUUAUUUCAAGCCCUGUUCUGUCACUGUCAACAUCGUCCAGCUCUGGAUGGACUGCUGUUGGAAUGGAAAAUGACAAAAAGGAAAAUGAGAGUUCAGCCAAAUCGAUUCAUCCCCUUACUUUGCGUCCUUGGGAUAUUACUGUACUUGUUAAUUUGUACAAAGUUCAUGGGCGUCUUCCAGUUCAUGGAACUACAGAUGGGCCUGAUUGCCCUACAGCUUUCUUGGAAAGACUAUGUUUUGAAAUGAAAAAAGGAUUUAGAGAGACCAUGCUGCAACUUGUCUUGUCACCCCUCAAUGUGUUUGUCAGCGAUAACUAUCAGCGACCACCUGUGGAUGAAGUUCUCAGGGAAGGUCACAUCAGUUUAUCAGGUCUCCAGCUGAGAGCACAUGCUAUGUUCUCAGCAGAAGGUCUUCCUUUAGGAAGUGAUUCCUUAGAAUAUGCAUGGCUAAUUGAUGUGCAGGCUGGAAGCCUUACAGCAAAGGUCACAGCACCACAGCUGACAUGUCUCUUGGAGUGGGGACAGACCUUUGUUUUUCAUGUGGUGUGUCGGGAAUAUGAACUGGAAAGACCAAAAUCAGUGAUCAUGUGUCAGCAUGGUAUUGAUCGUCGGUUCUGCGAAUCCAAAUUGAGUUGUAUUCCUGGGCCUUGUCCAACUUCAGAUGAUUUGAAAUAUACCAUGACUCGCUUAGCAGUGGAUGGAGCUGAUCUUUAUAUUGUGGAACAUGGUUGUGCUACAAAUAUAAAGAUGGGCACAAUUCGGGUCGCAAACUGUAAUCUCCACAAUCAGUCAGUUGGGGAAGGAAUAAGUGCUGCGAUUCAGGAUUUUCAAGUGAGACAGUACAUUGAGCAAUUAAAUAAUUGCAGAGUUGGACUUCAGCCUGCAGUGCUACGGAGGGCCUACUGGCUUGAAGCUGGGUCAGCCAACUUAGGACUUAUUACUGUUGAUAUUGCAUUAGCUGCUGAUCAUCAUGCUAAACAUGAAGCACAAAGACAUUUCUUGGAAACACAUGAUGCUAGAACUAAGAGAUUGUGGUUUUUAUGGCCAGAUGAUACUCUGAAGAAUAAGAGGUGUAGAAACAAGUGUGGAUGUCUGGGUGGCUGCAGAUUCUUUGGUGGCAUAGUAACUGGCCUAGAUUUCUUCAAACUGGAAGAAUUGACACCUUCCAGUAGCUCUGCGUUUUCAAGCAUAAGUGUGGACUCUGAUAUGUGUUAUGGUCAGUCUCUGCUACAGCCUGGAGAAUGGAUUAUUACAAAAGAAAUUCCCAGAAUUACAGAUGUGAUUCUCACAGCAGUAAGUUGUAGAUGCUAAAUUGCCAUAGGUGUCUUGUCCAGAGAAGAUUGUG